GCAUAUCAAUAAGCGGAGGAAAAGAAAAUAACAAUGAUUCCCCCAGUAACGGCGAGUGAAGAGGGAAGAGCCCAAAUUUGGAAUCUGGCGUCUUUCAGGCGUCCGAGUUGUAAUCUGGAGAGGCCAUAUUCGUGUCGGACCGUAGCAAAGUCUGCUAUUAUGCAGCGCCAGAGAGGGUGUUAGCCCCGUUUGUACUAUGGAUCCCCGAUGCUUAGAGUAGGUCUUCAAAGAGUCGAGUUGUUUGGGAAUGCAGCUCUAAGAGGGUGGUAAAUUCCAUCUAAGGCUAAAUAACGGCGAGAGACCGAUAGCGCACAAGUACCGUGAGGGACAGAUGAAAAGCACUUUGGAAAGAGGGUGAAAAAGUACGUGAAAUCACUGAAAGGGAAGCGCUUGAGGUUAGACGUGCAUUGUAUGAUUCAGCCAAUCUUUGGAGAGGUGUAUUUCGUACUAUUGCAGGCCAGCGUCAGUUUUGUGUGCUGGAUAAGGGUAUAGGGAAUGUAGCAGUAGCUUCGGCUGCUGUAUUAUAGACCUUUACUGGAUACAGCAUGCGGGACUGAGGAACGCAGCGUGCCUUUAUGGCCAAUCCUGCGGGAUUGUGUACGCUUAGGAUGCUGGCAUUAAUAGCCUUAAACGACCCGUCUUGAAACACGGACCAAGGAGUCUAACAUGCUUGCAAGUAUGUGGGUGUCAAGCCCUUGUGCGUAAUGAAAGUAAACGUAGGUGGGAGCCCUUCGCGGGGUGCACCAUCGACCGGCUUGAAACUACGUGUGAAAAGUCUGAGUAGGAGCAAGUAUGUCGGGACCCGAAAGAUGGUGAACUAUGCCUGAAUAGGGUGAAGCCAGAGGAAACUCUGGUGGAGGCUCGUAGCGGUUCUGACGUGCAAAUCGAUCGUC
rnacentral:rRNA from 1 species